UUUAUAACGUAGUUAAGUGUUCAAAUACUUUGUGUAUACGUGUAAAAACACUCCUAAUAGUAACAACAUUUAACACAUUAAACGCUACUUACAUUUAUAAAAUGCGGUUUAUUCACUACCUUGCAUGGUGGCAAGACGGAGUCAAUUACAGACUGACAACUAUAUGGCGAAUGGCAUGCUUGAUAAUUGAGUGGAAUCGGUAGCAUAACACGAGCAUGAAAUAUGAAUGUCGAACGAUGACCUUGUUUAUACAGGGUACAUUAGUGUUCAGUAGAUAAAACUCGGCCAAGAGUAAGCAGUACCUACCUAAUUAAAAUAAUCUCAAUACAAAUUAAAAAGACUUUCUUCAUAUGAAAGUUUGAUAAAUUGGUGUCAAAAUAUAAGGCACAACGUCAGCAGGACAACCCAUCGAAAGAAGCCAUUUCAAAAACUCUUGUGGUACUUCUUCACUACUCAAUU